GACAGCAUCGCCGCCGCCUCUGCAGGUCUGCAAAGGGAUCGGAGCGCAGGAGUCGCGGGGACUCAGGACUCAACCGGUGGGUCCUUUUACUCAUUGUCCUUCCCACCCAGCGGAGGCCCAUCAGUGAGGAACUCUUGAGACCUGGGCGAUGAAAGCAUCAAAUAAGGAAACCAAAGCUCCAGGAGGUUUACCAAAGAUCACGUAGCUUGUAGAUAGCAGAGACAAAGCCUUGAAACCAAGUCUAACCUAGCCCAAGCCACCCGCGUGUUUUACUCCUACAUCACACUGCUCCCAGGCGGUUGGUCUUCAUGGAAUCCAGGCCUGGCCUAGAAUAUCAGCU